ACGAACGCUCGCGGCGUGCUUAACACCUGCCAGUCGAACGGAAAGGCCCUGCUUUUGUGGGGUGCUCGAGUGGCGAACGGGUGAGUAACACGUGAGUAACCUGCCCUUGACUUUGGGAUAACUUCAGGAAACUGGGGCUAAUACCGGAUAGGAGCUCCUGCUGCAUGGUGGGGGUUGGAAAGUUUCGGCGGUUGGGGAUGGACUCGCGGCUUAUCAGCUUGUUGGUGGGGUAGUGGCUUACCAAGGCUUUGACGGGUAGCCGGCCUGAGAGGGUGACCGGCCACAUUGGGACUGAGAUACGGCCCAGACUCCUACGGGAGGCAGCAGUGGGGAAUAUUGCACAAUGGGCGGAAGCCUGAUGCAGCAACGCCGCGUGCGGGAUGACGGCCUUCGGGUUGUAAACCGCUUUCGCCUGUGACGAAGCGUGAGUGACGGUAAUGGGUAAAGAAGCACCGGCUAACUACGUG
rnacentral:rRNA from 1 species